CGAGGUGUAGCGCAGCUUGGUAGCGCGUUUGGUUCGGGACCAAAAGGCCGCUGGUUCAAAUCCAGUCACCUCGACCA
rnacentral:tRNA from 1 species